CUCACUUCGUGUGGGCCCAGAAUCGGGGUUUUGAGGGCGAGAUGAGUUUAUGUUUUAUCCAACUGGCCCACAAAGUCCCGCUUUUGGGGUCAUUCUUAACGU
rnacentral:pre_miRNA from 14 species